GACGAACGCUGGCGGCGUGCUUAACACAUGCAAGUCGAACGGAAAGGCCUCUUUCGGGGGGUACUCGAGUGGCGAACGGGUGAGUAACACGUGAGUAAUCUGCCCUUGACUUUGGGAUAACUUCAGGAAACUGGGGCUAAUACCGGAUAGGAGCUCCUGCUGCAUGGUGGGGGGUGGAAAGUUUCGGAGGUAGGGGAUGGACUCGCGGGCUAUCAGCUUGUUGGGGGGGUUGUGGCUUACCAAGGCCUUGACGGGUAGCCGGCCUGGGAGGGUGACCGGCCACAUUGGGACUGAGAGACGGCCCAGACUCCUACGGGAGGCAGCAGUGGGGAAUAUUGCACAAUGGGUGGAAGCCUGAUGCAGCAACGCCGUGUGCGGGAUGACGGCUUUCGGGUUGUAAACCGCUUUCGCUCAUGACGAAGCUUUGUGUGACGGUAGUGGGUAAAGAAGCACCGGCUAACUACGUG
rnacentral:rRNA from 1 species